CCUACGGGAGGCAGCAGUGAGGAAUAUUGCACAAUGGGCGAAAGCCUGAUGCAGCAACGCCGCGUGAGCGAUGAAGGCCUUCGGGGCGUAAAGCUCUUUCCUCAAGGAAGAUAAUGACGGUACUUGAGGAGGAAUCCCCGGCUAACUACGUGCCAGCCGCCGCGGUACUACGUAGGGGGCUAGCGUUAUCCGGAAUUACUGGGCGUAAAGGGUGCGUAGGUGGUUUCUUAAGUCAGAGGUGAAAGGCUACGGCUAAACCGUAGUAAGCCUUUGAAACUGGGGAACUUGAGUGCAGGAGAGGAGAGUGGAAUUCCUAGUGUAGCGGUGAAAUGCGUAGAUAUUAGGAGGAACACCAGUUGCGAAGGCGGCUCUCUGGACUGUAACUGACACUGAGGCACGAAAGCGUGGGGAGCAAACAGGAUUAGAUACCCGGGUAGUC
rnacentral:rRNA from 1 species